CGCGAUUUCGACAUCGUUUAUGACUGGAGCGCCGCUUGUCGUCUUAAUGAGGAACUAAAAUUCUAGAAUUUUAGUUCUCAUUAAGACAACAGCCGGCGCUUAAAUCGCCAACGAAAUUCGCGGAAAAUAAUGCUCGCUCCCUUAAACCGGAAACAUACCCGAUUGUGGCGGUAGAUUUUGGAAAAUGCAGUCGACAGUGCGCGACAUCCUCGAGACACAACAACAGAAGCUUUCUAAAGACAUGCAAACCAUGAGAUGGAAACUUGCUUUGUAAUUCACUACCAGUGACUGGCAGUCCUGAAACAGAAUGUCCAACUUUUCUUGGCGAAUUCCAGACCUACCAUCAGGAUGCAGUGUUCUGUAAGACACUGCAAGAGCUUUGUCCUUCUGGGAUUCCUAAUCCUUUGAAUGGAGAAAACAAGACAUUGCUGUAUAUGUGACGAUGAAAAUACCAUAUUGUUGGACAUUAAUUAAAAAGGGCAUUGACCAAUGACAUG